rnacentral:tRNA from 1 species
ACUUGAAUAGCUUAUUGUUUAGAGCGCGACGCUGAAGAUGUCGAUGAGGUUUUGUGUUAACCUUUAAGUG